rnacentral:tRNA from 1 species
GCCCGGUUAGCUCAAUCGGUAGAGCGUGAGACUCUUACGAGCACACGACAUCUCAAGGUUGCGGGUUCGACCCCCGCAUCGGGCU